rnacentral:lncRNA from 1 species
GUGUAUGCAUCAGCUAAUAGGGGACUAACUACAACUAGUAAUUAACUCGAAAAAUAAACUAACAUGAAUCUGAGACAUAACAGUUUACAGUCCCAUUAAUACAUAACCAGUCAGUUCAAUUAUGCAUUUCGAAUUUGAUAACAGUGUACAACCACCAAAUCACGACAAACUAUCUCAAACAUAACAAGCUAAUAGAUCUACAACAGAGAAUUUGCUUCAAUUUCAUUUCAUGUUGUCAACAGGGGAUGAUACAUCGAAACAGGUUCAAAAAUGUGUACCUGGAAAUCAGAAGAUCAAAGCAAGAAGGAAAAGUUAGCAAAAAUAACAGUUCUAGGGAACCAGUGAUAACCCAGCAGCAGCCAAUGAACGAGUACAACAGCCCAGAAAGGAUUCAGCAGUUCAAAAAUGAAUUGAAGACCAAGCAGAAUCAACAAAUUAACCCAAAACUAUAUCAAACAGCCAGAAAAUGAACCCAGCAUACCCACACACUUAACAGAUUACCAUAAUCAACUCGAUUUAAUCAUAUUCAAUGCCCAGCUGACCCAAAUUACCUUCAGACCUCAAAUACCAAAUAGAAACAAAGGAAUUCAAGCAGUUUUGGAUCUUAAUUGAGCUAGAAACUCGAAUUAAGUGCUGAACUCUGAAAAUGACUUAAGGAAACUAAUGUAACAGUAGUUUUUUUUGGACUUUUCUAUUGCUUUUGUGUUUGUUUUUUGGAUUUUUGGCAGAAUCUGAAAUCUAAAAGGGGAUUUGGGCUAUAAGAGUUCAGAGUUUGAAUUUUUUUUUUUGAUUUGAAAUUCAAAUUCUGAAGCUCAAAUGUGCAAAAUGAUUUUUGGGGGAAUAUUGGAGAAUUUUUGGGGUGCCCAAAACCUCCUUCAACAAAGCAAUAAGACUGCCUUUUAUAGGCAAAACUAAGGGGAAGCUACAGAUUUUCAAUUGCCUAUUAGUCCCUUGUUUUCUAACUUAUUACACAAGUUAACACCCUCAUUUCCUAACUUGUUACUCAAGUUACUGCUUCUAAAAAACUGAAACUUAUACCAAGGCCCCCUUCUAGAAGGUCCUAGGGUGUUCUUCUACCUCUAGAAUACCUAUACUACCCUUAUUUUGGUUUUGAAAUUACUAUUCUUUAACAAAAUAGCCCUUUUCCAUGCCUAAACUACCCCUGAACUUAAACUAAAAGUACAUUUAUAACCAAACAUUUUCCUAAACUCUGCAUCUAUCCCGAUUUAAACUCUUAUUGAGUCUAGCAAUUGAACUCAGAAUUAAUGAACAAAUUAAACUAUCAACUAUAACCAAAUUCAACAAAUCAUGAUGAUUAAUUAAACUGAAACUAAACUAAUUAGUAAUUAACCUAAACUAAAGGAACACCAGAAAUUAAUUCAAGCAAAACUUAGUAAAACUAAUUAACAAAUUAUCAACGGCUUAACUAAAAUCAAACUAAGAUCAGGAAUUGGAACAUAUUAAAAUCAAACAAACAACUAGACUUAAUCACAAAAAAAUCAGGACACAAGACUAGAACAACAUUGACAAAAAUUUAAAACUCAAAUUAAACUAGACAUUGACCAUGGAAUUCACACAUGCAGAAAAUCAGAAAAGGAAAAAGAAAUUGAAAAUAAAAGAAAAUACCAACAAGAACUCACUGACAACAAAGAGCUCCGGCCAGUGGUUGUUUCUCCAAAUACCCCAAAAUUUCUGACCCGUAACAUCCUUAACCACGUGUUUUCAUAAGAAAACAACUGGUUAGGAUUGUUAGGGUCCGAAAUCAUGGAGAUUUUGCAUUAGGGUUUUGGUCGGAAACCUUCGAUUUAAUAUUCGAGCUGUUCCAGGUAGAUUCGAGAGACAGGGCUAUGGGGGUUGGGUAGAGGAGGCCCAGGCGGUCACAUGGUGUUAAUUUGGUGGUGAUCGGGUUACUUUGGGUUUUGGCCGGAGAAUCUUUGAUCGAUGAUUCGACGAACUAGGGCUGGAUUUGAUGGAAAGGGGGGUGGAUUCAUGACGAGGGAGAAGAGGCGGUCUCGUGGUGUUAUUUUGGGGUAAUUUGGAGUAGGUGUCGUUCACCGCCGGCGAGCUCUGGUGAAAGGAUAUGGGGGAGGCUGGUUUUUAGUGUUUAGGUUAGAGAUGGAC